UGCGGUUACACAAAAAUUAAAUUAAAUUUUAUUAAUAAUAAUCAAUAUAAUAAUAAUUAAUUUAAUAAUUUAAAUAUUAAAUUAAUAAGUGAAAUUUUAAUUUAAUUAAAAAUUAUAUUAUAAAUUAUAUGAUUUAAUAAAUUUUAUUAUAAACUAGGAUUAGAUACCCUAUUAUUAAAAAUUUAAAUUAAAAAUAUUAAAAUAGUAUAUAAUUAUUUAUUGAAACUUAAAUAAUUUGGCGGUAUUUUAGUUCAUUUAGAGGAAUCUGUUUAUUAAUUGAUAAUCCACGAAUAAUUUUACUUAAUUUAUAAUUUUGUAUAUCGUUGUUAAAAAAAUAUUUUUAAAUAAAUUUAAUAUUUUAAAAUUUAAAUUAAAAAUUAAAUCAGAUCAAGAUGCAGAUUAUAAUUAAGAAUAUAAUGGAUUACAAUAAAUUUAUUUAUAUGAAUAUUAAAUUGAAAAAUUUAAUUAAAAGUGGAUUUAAAUGUAAUUUUAUUUAAUUUAUUAAAAUGAUUAAAAAUUAAAAUAUGUACAUAUUGCCCGUCGCUUUCAUUAAUAAAUUGAAAUAAGUCGUAACAAAGUAGAGGUACUGGAAAGUGUUUCUAGAAAGAA
rnacentral:rRNA from 1 species